UGGGGGAUAUUGCACAAUGGGCGCAAGCCUGAUGCAGCGACGCCGCGUGGGGGAUGAAGGCCUUCGGGUUGUAAACUUCUUUUGCUCUGAACAAGGCGCACUUUGGGGUGUGUUGAGUGUAGGGGUUGAUUAGCGCCGGCUAACUACGUGCCAGCAGCCGCGGUAAUACGUAGGGCGCGAGCGUUGUCCGGAAUUAUUGGGCGUAAAGGGCUUGUAGGUGGCUGGUUGCGUCUGUCGUGAAAGCUCAUGGCUUAACUGUGGGUUGGCGGUGGGUACGGGCUGGCUUGAGUGCAGUAGGGGAAGCUGGAAUUCCUGGUGUAGCGGUGGAAUGCGCAGAUAUCAGGAGGAAUACCGGUGGCGAAGGCGGGUCUCUGGGCUGUUACUGACACUGAGGAGCGAAAGCAUGGGGAGCGAACAGG
rnacentral:rRNA from 1 species